AUUGAACGCUGGCGGCAGGCCUAACACAUGCAAGUCGAGCGAGCGGCGGACGGGUGAGUAAUGUAUGGGGAACUGCCCGAUAGAGGGGGAUAAAUACUGGAAACGGUGGCUAAUACCGCAUACUAUCGGAUGUACCCAUAUGGGAUUAGCGAGUAGGUGGGGUAACGGCUCACCUAGGCGACGAUCUCUAGCUGGUCUGAGAGGAUGACCAGCCACACUGGGACUGAGACACGGCCCAGACUCCUACGGGAGGCAGCAGUGGGGAAUAGUGCACAAUGGGAGAAAGCCUGAUGCAGCCAUGCCGCGUGUAUGAAGAAGGCCUUCGGGUUGUAAAGUACUUUCAGCGGGGAGGCGUUACCCGCAGAAGAAGCACCGGCUAACUCCGUGCCAGCAGCCGCGGUAAUAC
rnacentral:rRNA from 1 species